UUACCAAACCAUGGCAAACUCCGAAUACUUGGAAGUUUGAGCACGGGAGACAGAGCACCGGGUGCUAACGUCCGGACUCAAGAGGGAAACAACCCAGACCGCCGGCUAAGGUCCCUAAUAUUGACUAAGUGGAAAACGAAGUGGAAAGGCUAAGACAGUCAGGAAGUUGGCUUAGAAGCAGCCAUCCUUCAAAGAAAGCGUAAUAGCUCACUGAUCGAGUCUUUCUGCGCGGAAGAUGUAACGGGGCUAAGUCAAUAACCGAAGCCGCGGAUUCACACUUGUGUGUGAGUGGUAGGGGAGCGUUCUGUAAGCCUGCGAAGGUGACUCGUAAGGGUUGCUGGAGGUAUCAGAAGUGCGAAUGCUGACAUGAGUAACGUUAAAGCGGGUGAAAAGCCCGCUCGCCGUAAGCCCAAGGUUUCCUGCUCUACGUUCAUCGGAGCAGGGUGAGUCGGCCCCUAAGGUGAGGCUGAGAAGCGUAACUGAUGGGAACAAGGUUAAUAUUCCUUGACCACCGCUGAAUGCGAAGGGGGGACGGAGUAUUGAAGAUCAUCCGGGUGUUGGAUAUCCCGGUUUGCGAGCGUAGGAGGCUGACAGGCAAAUCCGUCAGCGAAUCUCCGAGGCAAAGCAUCGAGCUCUCUUUUGAGCGAAGUGAUUGGAUGUGCUUCCAGGAAAAGCCUCUAAGCUCCAGUUCAGCGGGACCGUACCGCAAACCGACACUGGUGGGCGAGCUGAAUAUGCUCAGGCGCUUGAGAGAACUCAGGAGAAGGAACUCGGCAAAUUGACACCGUAACUUCGGGAUAAGGUGUGCCUUUGUAGCGUGGAGGGAGAAACACCCCGAGCGCGAAGAGGUCUCAGAUAAUCGGUGGCUGCGACUGUUUAUUAAAAACACAGCACUCUGCAAAGACGAAAGUCGACGUAUAGGGUGUGAUGCCUGCCCGGUGCUGGAAGAUUAAUUGAUGGGGUGCAAGCUCCUGAUCGAAGUCCCAGUAAACGGCGGCCGUAACUAUAACGGUCCUAAGGUAGCGAAAUUCCUUGUCGGGCAAGUUCCGACCUGCACGAAUGGCAUAACGAUGGCCACACUGUCUCCUCCUGAGACUCAGUGAAGUUGAAGUGUUUGUGAUGAUGCAAUCUCCCCGCGGCUAGACGGAAAGACCCCAUGAACCUUUACUGUAGCUUUGCAUUGGACUUUGAACCGAUCUGUGUAGGAUAGGCGGGAGCCUGUGAAACCACAACGCCAGUUGUGGCGGAGGCGUCCUUGAAAUACCGCCCUGAUUUGUUUGAGGUUCUAACCUGGGACAGUCAUCCUGUCCGGGGACCGUGCAUGGUAGGCAGUUUGACUGGGGCGGUCUCCUCCUAAAGGGUAACGGAGGAGUGCGAAGGUACGCUAGGUACGGUCGGAAAUCGUGCUGAUAGUGCAAUGGCAAAAGCGUGCUUGACUGCGAGACCCACAAGUCGAGCAGAUACGAAAGUAGGUCAUAGUGAUCCGGUGGCUCUGUAUGGAAGGGCCAUCGCUCAACGGAUAAAAGGUACUCUGGGGAUAACAGGCUGAUACCGCCCAAGAGUUCAUAUCGACGGCGGUGUUUGGCACCUCGAUGUCGGCUCAUCUCAUCCUGGGGCUGUAGCCGGUCCCAAGGGUAUGGCUGUUCGCCAUUUAAAGAGGUACGUGAGCUGGGUUUAAAACGUCGUGAGACAGUUUUGUCCCUAUCUGCCGUGGGCGCUGGAAGAUUGACGGGGGCUGCUCCUAGUACGAGAGGACCGGAGUGGACUCACCUCUGGUGUACCGGUUGUCACGCCAGUGGCAUCGCCGGGUAGCUAUGUGGGGAAGAGAUAACCGCUGAAAGCAUCUAAGCGGGAAACUUGCCUGAAGAUAAGUCUUCCUGGAGGCUAGACCUCCCUAAAGAGUCGUUCGAGACCAGGACGUUGAUAGGAUGGGUGUGUAAGUGCUGUGAGGCACUCAGCUAACCAUUACUAAUUGCUCGUGAAGCUUGAUCC
rnacentral:rRNA from 1 species